AGUCGAACGAUGAAGCCCAGCUUGCUGGGUGGAUUAGUGGCGAACGGGUGAGUAACACGUGAGUAACCUGCCCUUAACUCUGGGAUAAGCCUGGGAAACUAGGUCUAAUACCGGAUAGGAGCGCCUACCGCAUGGUGGGUGUUGGAAAGAUUUAUCGGUUUUGGAUGGACUCGCGGCCUAUCAGCUUGUUGGUGAGGUAAUGGCUCACCAAGGCGACGACGGGUAGCCGGCCUGAGAGGGUGACCGGCCACACUGGGACUGAGACACNAAANGGCCCAGACUCCUACGGGAGGCAGCAGUGGGGAAUAUUGCACAAUGGGCGAAAGCCUGAUGCAGCGACGCCGCGUGAGGGAUGACGGCCUUCGGGUUGUAAACCUCUUUCAGUAGGGAAGAAGCGAAAGUGACGGUACCUGCAGAAGAAGCACCGGCUAACUACGUGCCAGCAGCCGCGGUAAUACGUAGGGUGCGAGCGUUAUCCGGAAUUAUUGGGCGUAAAGAGCUCGUAGGCGGUUUGUCGCGUCUGUCGUGAAAGUCCGGGGCUUAACCCCGGAUCUGCGGUGGGUACGGGCAGACUAGAGUGCAGGGGAGACUGGAAUUCCUGGUGUAGCGGUGGAAUGCGCAGAUAUCAGGAGGAACACCGAUGGCGAAGGCAGGUCUCUGGGCUGUAACUGACGCUGAGGAGCGAAAGCAUGGGGAGCGAACAGGAUUAGAUACCCUGGUAGUCCAUGCCGUAAACGUUGGGCACUAGGUGUGGGGACCAUUCCACGGUUUCCGCGCCGCAGCUAACGCAUUAAGUGCCCCGCCUGGGGAGUACGGCCGCAAGGCUAAAACUCAAAGGAAUUGACGGGGGCCCGCACAAGCGGCGGAGCAUGCGGAUUAAUUCGAUGCAACGCGAAGAGCGUUACCAAGGCUUGACAUUUCUCGAUCGCCG
rnacentral:rRNA from 1 species